AAUGAACGCUGGCGGCGUGCCUAACACAUGCAAGUCGAACGAGAAACUCCGGGCUUGCUCGGGGGAGUAAAGUGGCGCACGGGUGAGUAACGCGUGGGUAACCUGCCCUUGAAUUCGGGAUAACUUCGCGAAAGCGUAGCUAAUACCGGAUGCCGUCUCAGAAGCUGUGGCUUUUGGGAUGAAAGGUGACCUCUUCAUGAAAGUUGCCGUUCAAGGAGGGGCUCGCGUACCAUUAGCUUGUUGGUGGGGUAAUGGCCUACCAAGGCUUCGAUGGUUAGCUGGUCUGAGAGGAUGACCAGCCACACUGGAACUGAAACACGGUCCAGACUCCUACGGGUGGCAG
rnacentral:rRNA from 1 species